CAGCAGCCGCGGGAAUACGGAGGGUGCAAGCGUUAAUCGGAAUUACUGGGCGUAAAGCGCACGCAGGCGGUUUGUUAAGUCAGAUGUGAAAUCCCCGAGCUUAACUUGGGAACUGCAUUUGAAACUGGCAAGCUAGAGUCUUGUAGAGGGGGGUAGAAUUCCAGGUGUAGCGGUGAAAUGCGUAGAGAUCUGGAGGAAUACCGGUGGCGAAGGCAGCCCCCUGGGCCAAUACUGACGCUCAUGCACGAAAGCGUGGGGAGCAAACAGGAUUAGAUACCCUCGUAGUCCCUGUCUCUUAUAC
rnacentral:rRNA from 1 species